AGUGAACGCUGGCGGUAGGCCUAACACAUGCAAGUCGAACGGCAGCACAGUAAGAGCUUGCUCUUACGGGUGGCGAGUGGCGGACGGGUGAGGAAUACAUCGGAAUCUACUUUUUCGUGGGGGAUAACGUAGGGAAACUUACGCUAAUACCGCAUACGACCUACGGGUGAAAGCAGGGGAUCUUCGGACCUUGCGCGAUUGAAUGAGCCGAUGUCGGAUUAGCUAGUUGGCGGGGUAAAGGCCCACCAAGGCGACGAUCCGUAGCUGGUCUGAGAGGAUGAUCAGCCACACUGGAACUGAGACACGGUCCAGACUCCUACGGGAGGCAGCAGUGGGGAAUAUUGGACAAUGGGCGAAAGCCUGAUCCAGCAAUACCGCGUGGGUGAAGAAGGCCUUCGGGUUGUAAAGCCCUUUUGUUGGGAAAGAAAAGCAGCAGGUUAAUACGCCGCUGUUCUGACGGUACCCAAAGAAUAAGCACCGGCUAACUUCGUG
rnacentral:rRNA from 1 species